rnacentral:rRNA from 1 species
UACGGGGGGGGCAAGCGUUGUUCGGAAUUACUGGGCGUAAAGGGCUCGUAGGUGGCCAACUAAGUCAGACGUGAAAUCCCUCGGCUUAACCGGGGAACUGCGUCUGAUACUGGAUGGCUGGAGUUCGGUAGGGGAGACUGGAAUUCCUGGUGUAGCGGUGAAAUGCGCAGAUAUCAGGAGGAACACCGGUGGCGAAGGCGGGUCUCUGGGCCGAUACUGACGCUGAGGAGCGAAAGCGUGGGGAGCAAACAGG